GCUGCAGACACUGGGCUUCUCUGAGCAAUCUGGUGGCAUCCCUGCUCAAUUCAAUGAAAUCCAUCGCAUCUUUGCUGCUUCUCCUCUUCCUCUUCAUCAUUAUCUUCUCCCUGCUUGGCAUGCAGCUGUUUGGGGGCAAGUUCAACUUUGACCAGACCCACACCAAGCGAAGCACCUUUGACACAUUCCCCCAGGCCCUCCUCACUGUCUUUCAGAUCCUGACAGGCGAGGACUGGAACGUGGUCAUGUAUGAUGGUAUCAUGGCAUAUGGUGGCCCCUUCUUCCCAGGAAUGCUGGUGUGCAUCUAUUUCAUCAUUCUCUUCAUCUGUGGCAACUACAUCCUGUUGAACGUGUUUCUUGCCAUUGCUGUGGACAACCUGGCCAGUGGAGAUGCAGGCACUGCCAAGGACAAGGGCGGGUCCUGUUCUAGAUGCUGAGGAGACAAGAGGGGUCAAGGCAGACAGAGUCCUUGCCUUCAUGGAACUAACAUUCUAGUUGAGGAAG
rnacentral:sRNA from 1 species